rnacentral:rRNA from 1 species
CAAGUCGUACGAGAAGGCCCACUGAUAUUGAUCGAAGUUGGAGUGCUUGCACAAAGAUGGACUUAGUGGAUGUGGAUUUCCUUCUAGUGGCAAACAGGUGAGUAACACGUGGGUUACCUACCUCUAAGUCGGGGAUACCAAUUGGAAACGAUUGUUAAUACCGGAUGUGCUCUACGGAGUAAAGAAGCCCUUAAAGCUUCGCUUAGAGAUGGGCCUGCGGCGCAUUAGCUAGUUGGUGAGAUAACAGCCCACCAAGGCGACGAUGCGUAGCCGAACUGAGAGGUUGAUCGGCCACAUUGGGACUGAGACACGGCCCAGACUCCUACGGGAGACAGCAGUUAGGAAUAUUCGUCAAUGGGGGCAACCCUGAACGAGCAAUGCCGCGUGAGUGAUAGGACGGUCCUCUGGAUUGUAAAAACUCUGUUGUUUAAGGAAAAAUUGUAUCUAUAGGAAAUGAUAGGUGCUUGAUGGUACUAUUCAAGAAAGCCACGGCUAACUACGUGCCAGCAGCCGC